UCGAGCGAACGGACGAGAAGCUUGCUUCUCUGAUGUUAGCGGCGGACGGGUGAGUAACACGUGGAUAACCUACCUAUAAGACUGGGAUAACUUCGGGAAACCGGAGCUAAUACCGGAUAAUAUUUUGAACCGCAUGGUUCAAAAGUGAAAGACGGUCUUGCUGUCACUUAUAGAUGGAUCCGCGCUGCAUUAGCUAGUUGGUAAGGUAACGGCUUACCAAGGCAACGAUGCAUAGCCGACCUGAGAGGGUGAUCGGCCGCACUGGAACUGAGACACGGUCCAGACUCCUACGGGAGGCAGCAGUAGGGAAUCUUCCGCAAUGGGCGAAAGCCUGACGGAGCAACGCCGCGUGAGUGAUGAAGGUCUUCGGAUCGUAAAACUCUGUUAUUAGGGAAGAACAUAUGUGUAAGUAACUGUGCACAUCUUGACGGUACCUAAUCAGAAAGCCACGGCUAACUACGUGCCAGCAGCCGCGGUAAUACGUAGGUGGCAAGCGUUAUCCGGAAUUAUUGGGCGUAAAGCGCGCGUAGGCGGUUUUUUAAGUCUGAUGUGAAAGCCCACGGCUCAACCGUGGAGGGUCAUUGGAAACUGGAAAACUUGAGUGCAGAAGAGGAAAGUGGAAUUCCAUGUGUAGCGGUGAAAUGCGCAGAGAUAUGGAGGAACACCAGUGGCGAAGGCGACUUUCUG
rnacentral:rRNA from 1 species